rnacentral:lncRNA from 1 species
GAAAAGAUAAAAAAAAAAAGAAAAAAUUUUAAAUAUCACCAUUGUAAUUUCGUACUUACUUCUUUUAGUACCCUGUAAUUUAAAAUGCAUCACUUUAGUAUCUUGUGGUUUCUUUUUUUUAUUUUUUGUUAUCUCCUCUAUUAAUUUUUUCAUUAAACCAAUGACAAAAUUAAAACCACAGGAUACUAAAGUAUAAAUUCGUUAAACCACAAGUAAAUAUUCAAUAAACCAUACAUGGAGUAUCUAAAGUUUUUUGUACGUGAUUUAGCGGUCAUAAAAGAAAAAAAUAAAAUCAUAGUAUACUAAAGUAAUAUAUUUUAAAUUACAGAAUACUAAACUGAGAAAAUACAAAACUACAGGAGUGAUAUUUAAAAUUUUGCUAAAUUACAAAAAAUCUCUGGAUCAAAACCCUCUUUUUCACUUUACCUUCCCGACUUUUAAAAACCUACAUUUUGUCCUUUCAAAAAUUGAAAAAUGUUUACUUUGGCUCUCGUCGUUAGGGUUCUAUCCAUCUUCUAUUAUUAUAUAUUUUUUACAUCCAAAAUACCCUUCUACCUCUCCAUGCAGUUGCCUCCUCCUUUCUCUCCAAGGUCCUUGGCGGCACCUUCUCACUUCUCGCCUUCUUUCAUGGCAAGUUCAAGUUCCCGGCUCUCCUUCGCCACCUCGCCGUCGUCUACCUUUCAGUCUGCGUCUACCCCAACCUCGCUCCCCACCGCCACCGAAUGAAAAGACUACGAAGUUGCAGAAAGAGGAGGGGAAGCACGUGGACCAAGCGUAAUCGGAGUUGGAGUCAACAGAGGUGCAGAGAAGGGACAAUAAAGUGCUGCAGAUGAAGAAGGGCUGGGAAGAAACGAAGAAGAUGGGAGCAUUUUGGUUUUUUUUUUUUAUCAUAAUUAACACCGUACUCUCUGUGAAUAUUUUUUAAUUUUUGAGAGGAUAAAAUAUAAAUUUUUAAAAGUUGGAGACAAAAAAUAAAGGGAAAACUUCAAAAACCCCCCCUGUGGUUUCGUGCAUUCUCACUUUGCUACCCUGUGGUUUAAAACGUAUCAAUUUACCCCCCUGUGGUUUCAUUUUUAUCUUUUCGGAAGCUUUUUCGUUAAUAUUUCGUUAAAUUAUAUACAAAAAACUUCAGAUAACCAUCUAUAUUUAUCAAAUAGUCACUUUAGUAUCCUUUAAUUUUAACUUUGUCAUUGAUUUUAAAAAAAAAAAAUAAUAAAAUUGAUAACAAAAAGAUAAAAACGAAACCACAGGGGGGCAAAUUGAUACGUUUUAAACCACAGGGUAGCAAAGUGAGAAUGCACGAAACCACAGGGGGGGUUUUUGAAGUUUUCCCAAAAAUAAAAAAAUGAGUUUUGA